GGGGAACGAGCUGUGAUCUUCGGGGUGACUUGUCGCUGACGAGUGGCGGACGGGUGAGUAAUGCUUAGGAAUCUGCCCAGUAGUGGGGGACAACACGGGGAAACUCGUGCUAAUACCGCAUACGCCUUACGAGGGAAAGUGGAGGAUCUUCGGACUUCACGCUAUUGGAAGAGCCUAAGUCGGAUUAGCUUGUUGGUGGGGUAAUGGCCUACCAAGGCGACGAUCCGUAGCUGGUCUGAGAGGACGAUCAGCCACACUGGGACUGAGACACGGCCCAGACUCCUACGGGAGGCAGCAGUGGGGAAUAUUGGACAAUGGGGGCAACCCUGAUCCAGCAAUGCCGCGUGUGUGAAGAAGGCCUGCGGGUUGUAAAGCACUUUCAGUAGAGAAGAAAAGCUUAGGGUUAAUACCCCUGAGUCUUGACGUAACCUACAGAAGAAGCACCGGCUAACUCCGUGCCAGCAGCCGCGGUAAUACGGAGGGUGCGAGCGUUAAUCGGAAUUACUGGGCGUAAAGCGCGCGUAGGCGGUCUGGUCAGUCGGAUGUGAAAGCCCCGGGCUUAACCUGGGAAUUGCAUUCGAUACUGCCAAACUAGAAUGUUGGAGAGGGAAGUGGAAUUUCCGGUGUAGCGGUGAAAUGCGUAGAUAUCG
rnacentral:rRNA from 1 species